rnacentral:rRNA from 1 species
GGGUCAGUAGGUUGGUCGUGCCACCGGUACGUACUGGUCUCACUGAUUCCUCAUUCCUGAAGAACCGUAAUGCCAUUAAUUUGGUGUUGCGGGGAAACAGGACUGUUACUUUGAAAAAAUUAGAGUGUUUAAAGCAAGCUAACGCUUGAAUACAUUAGCAUGGAAUAAUGAAAUAGGACGAUCGAUGCUAUUUUGUUGGUUUCUAGGAUUGACGUA